rnacentral:rRNA from 1 species
ACGCUGGCAGCAUGCUUUACACAUGCAAGUCGGACGGCAGCACAGAGAAGCUUGCUUCUUGGGUGGCGGGUGGCGAACGGGUGAGUAACAUAUCGGAACGUACCGAGUAAUGGGGGAUAACUAAUCGAAAGAUUAGCUAAUACCGCAUAUUCUCUGAGGAGGAAAGCAGGGGACCUUCGGGCCUUGCGUUAUUCGAGCGGCCGAUAUCUGAUUAGCUAGUUGGUGGGGUAAAGGCCUACCAAGGCGACGAUCAGUAGCGGGUCUGAGAGGAUGAUCCGCCACACUGGGACUGAGACACGGCCCAGACUCCUACGGGAGGCAGCAGUGGGGAAUUUUGGACAAUGGGCGCAAGCCUGAUCCAGCCAUGCCGCGUGUCUGAAGAAGGCCUUCGGGUUGUAAAGGACUUUUGUCAGGGAAGAAAAGGCUGUUGCUAAUACCGACAGUUGAUGACGGUACCUGAAGAAUAAGCACCGGCUAACUACGUGCCAGCAGCCGCGGUAAUACGUAGGGUGCGAGCGUUAAUCGGAAUUACUGGGCGUAAAGCGAGCGCAGACGGUUACUUAAGCAGGAUGUGAAAUCCCCGGGCUCAACCUGGGAACUGCGUUCUGAACUGGGUGACUAGAGUGUGUCAGAGGGAGGUAGAAUUCCACGUGUAGCAGUGAAAUGCGUAGAGAUGUGGAGGAAUACCGAUGGCGAAGGCAGCCUCCUGGGAUAACACUGACGUUCAUGCUCGAAAGCGUGGGAAGCAAACAGGAUUAGAUACCCUGGUAGUCCACGCCCUAAACGAUGUCAAUUAGCUGUUGGGCAACUUGAUUGCUUAGUAGCGUAGCUAACGCGUGAAAUUGACCGCCUGGGGAGUACGGUCGCAAGAUUAAAACUCAAAGGAAUUGACGGGGACCCGCACAAGCGGUG